rnacentral:rRNA from 1 species
GAUAAAAAACCAAUGCCCUUCGGGGCUUCUUGGUGAUUCAUGAUAACUUAACGAAUCGCAUGGCCUUGCGCCGGCGAUGGUUCAUUCAAAUUUCUGCCCUAUCAACUUUCGAUGGUAGGAUAGUGGCCUACCAUGGUUUCGACGGGUACCGGUAAGCACAUCCGCUCCCACACGGCAGGCAGGAAAGCUAAUGGACUUUUAGGGGAAUUAGGGUUCGAUUCCGGAGAGGGAGCCUGAGAAACGUAAGUUCCAAUCUUUUAGAUUGACGUCGUUGUGGCAGAAAGCUGACUCGUUGACAACAGGGCUACCACAUCCAAGGAAGGCAGCAGGCGCGCAAAUUACCCAAUCCCGAUACGGGGAGGUAGUAAGUUGAAAUCCGACACCCGGUUUCCCUGUAAUUAUCGCUGACGGUUUAAUCUUCCAGGUGACAAUAAAUACUGAUCCAGGGCUCUUUUGGGUCUUGUAAUUGGAAUGAGUACAAUUUAAAUACCUUAACGAGGAACAAUUGGAGGGCAAGUCUGGUGCCAGCAGCCGCGGUAAUUCCAGCUCCAAUAGCGUAUAUUAAAGUUGUUGCAGUUAAAAAGCUCGUAGUUGAAACUUGGGCCUGGCUGGCCGGUCCGCCUCACCGCGUGCACUGGUCCGGCCGGGCCUUUUCUCCUGGGGAGCCUCAUGCC